rnacentral:rRNA from 1 species
GAUGAACGCUAGCUACAGGCUUAACACAUGCAAGUCGAGGGGAAACGGCAUUAAGUGCUUGCACUUUUUGGACGUCGACCGGCGCACGGGUGAGUAACGCGUAUCCAACCUGCCCCUUACCAGGGAAUAACCCGUUGAAAGACGGACUAAUGCCCUAUGCAGUCCUUUUACGGCAUCAGAUUAGGACUAAAGAUUCAUCGGUAUGGGAUGGGGAUGCGUCUGAUUAGCUUGUUGGCGGGGUAACGGCCCACCAAGGCAUCGAUCAGUAGGGGUUCUGAGAGGAAGGUCCCCCACAUAGGAACUGAGACACGGUCCUAACUCCUACGGGAGGCAGCAGUGAGGAAUAUUGGUCAAUGGGCGGUAGCCUGAACCAGCCAAGUAGCGUGCAGGAUGACGGCCCUAUGGGUUGUAAACUGCUUUUAUGCGGGGAUAAAGUCACCCACGUGUGGGUGUUUGCAGGUACCGCAUGAAUAAGGACCGGCUAAUUCCGUG